rnacentral:rRNA from 1 species
ACUGGCUAUACCAUCAUGAACAUGCAUAAUCUCAUCUGAUCUCAGAUACUAAGUAAGCUUGAGCCCGAUUAGUCCUUGGAUGGGAGAAAUACUAGGUAGAGUCAAAC